rnacentral:rRNA from 1 species
AUGCUUAGCCCUUAAACCCAGAUGUUAAUAUAAACAUCCGCCAGGGUAACCUACGAGCACAGCUUAAAACCCAAAGGACUUGGCGGUGCCUCAGAUCCACCUAGAGGAGCCUGUUCUAGAACCGAUAACCCCCGUUGAACCUUACCAUCCCUUGUUUAUCCCGCCUAUA